rnacentral:rRNA from 1 species
GAUGAACGCUGGCGGCGUGCCUAAUACAUGCAAGUCGAGCGAAUGGACUAAGAGCUUGCUCUUAUGAAGUUAGCGGCGGACGGGUGAGUAACACGUGGGUAACCUGCCCAUAAGACUGGGAUAACUCCGGGAAACCGGGGCUAAUACCGGAUAAUAUUUUGAACUGCAUGGUUCAAAAUUGAAAGGCGGCUUCGGCUGUCACUUAUGGAUGGACCCGCGUCGCAUUAGCUAGUUGGUGAGGUAACGGCUCACCAAGGCAACGAUGCGUAGCCGACCUGGGAGGGUGAUCGGCCACACUGGGACUGGAACACGGCCCAGACUCCUACGGGAGGCAGCAGUAGGGAAUCUUCCGCAAUGGACGAAAGUCUGACGGAGCAACGCCGCGUGAGUGAUGAAGGCUUUCGGGUCGUAAAACUCUGUUGUUAGGGAAGAACAAGUGCUAGUUGAAUAAGCUGGCACCUUGACGGUACCUAACCAGAAAGCCACGGCUAACUACGUGCCAGCCGCCGCGGUAA